rnacentral:tRNA from 1 species
GCCUGGGUGGCUCAGUGGUUGAGCAUCUGCCUUUGGCUCAGGUUGUGAUCCCGAGGUCCUGGGAUCUAGUCCCAAAUCAGGCC